GACGAACGCUGGCGGCGUGCCUAAAACAUGCAAGUCGAGCGGACAGAAGGGAGCUUGCUCCCGGAAGUUAGCGGCGGACGGGUGAGUAACACGUGGGCAACCUACCCUGUAGAUCGGGAUAACAUCGAGAAAUCGGUGCUAAUACCGGAUAAUCAUUUGAAGUGCAUGCUUCGAAUGUAAAAGUUGGCUCCGGCUAUCACUACGGGAUGGGCCCGCGGCGCAUUAACUAGUUGGUAAGGUAAUGGCUUACCAAGGCAACGAUGCGUAGCCGAACUGAGAGGGUGAUCGGCCACACUGGGACUGAGACACGGCCCAGACUCCUACGGGAGGCAGCAGUAGGGAAUCUUCCGCAAUGGACGAAAGUCUGACGGAGCAACGCCGCGUGAGUGAUGAAGGUUUUCGGAUCGUAAAGCUCUGUUGUUAGGGAAGAACAAGUGCCGUUUGAAUAAGGCGGCACCUUGACGGUACCUAACCAGAAAGCCACGGCUAACUACGUGCCAGCCGCCGCGGUAACAC
rnacentral:rRNA from 1 species